rnacentral:miRNA from 1 species
UAAGACUAUACUUUCAGGGAUCAUUUCUAUAGU